CGUGCCUAAUACAUGCAAGUCGAGCGAACAGACGAGGAGCUUGCUCCUCUGACGUUAGCGGCGGACGGGUGAGUAACACGUGGAUAACCUACCUAUAAGACUGGGAUAACUUCGGGAAACCGGAGCUAAUACCGGAUAAUAUAUCGAACCGCAUGGUUCAAUAGUGAAAGACGGUUUUGCUGUCACUUAUAGAUGGAUCCGCGCCGCAUUAGCUAGUUGGUAAGGUAACGGCUUACCAAGGCAACGAUGCGUAGCCGACCUGAGAGGGUGAUCGGCCACACUGGAACUGAGACACGGUCCAGACUCCUACGGGAGGCAGCAGUAGGGAAUCUUCCGCAAUGGGCGAAAGCCUGACGGAGCAACGCCGCGUGAGUGAUGAAGGUCUUCGGAUCGUAAAACUCUGUUAUUAGGGAAGAACAAAUGUGUAAGUAACUAUGCACGUCUUGACGGUACCUAAUCAGAAAGCCACGGCUAACUACGUGCCAGCAGCCGCGGUAAUACGUAGGUGGCAAGCGUUAUCCGGAAUUAUUGGGCGUAAAGCGCGCGUAGGCGGUUUUUUAAGUCUGAUGUGAAAGCCCACGGCUCAACCGUGGAGGGUCAUUGGAAACUGGAAAACUUGAGUGCAGAAGAGGAAAGUGGAAUUCCAUGUGUAGCGGUGAAAUGCGCAGAGAUAUGGAGGAACACCAGUGGCGAAGGCGACUUUCUGGUCUGUAACUGACGCUGAUGUGCGAAAGCGUGGGGAUCAAACAGGAUU
rnacentral:rRNA from 1 species